rnacentral:rRNA from 1 species
GAUGAACGCUGGCGGCGUGCCUAAUACAUGCAAGUCGAGCGAACAGACGAGGAGCUUGCUCCUCUGACGUUAGCGGCGGACGGGUGAGUAACACGUGGAUAACCUACCUAUAAGACUGGGAUAACUUCGGGAAACCGGAGCUAAUACCGGAUAAUAUAUUGAACCGCAUGGUUCAAUAGUGAAAGACGGUUUUGCUGUCACUUAUAGAUGGAUCCGCGCCGCAUUAGCUAGUUGGUAAGGUAACGGCUUACCAAGGCAACGAUGCGUAGCCGACCUGAGAGGGUGAUCGGCCACACUGGAACUGAGACACGGUCCAGACUCCUACGGGAGGCAGCAGUAGGGAAUCUUCCGCAGUGGGCGAAAGCCUGACGGAGCAACGCCGCGUGAGUGAUGAAGGUCUUCGGAUCGUAAAACUCUGUUAUUAGGGAAGAGCAAAUGUGUAAGUAACUAUGCACGUCUUGACGGUACCUAAUCAGAAAGCCACGGCUAACUACGU